GACGAAUGCUGGCGGCGUGCCUAAUACAUGCAAGUCGAGCGAGACUCUUCGGAGUCUAGCGGCGGACGGGUGAGUAACACGUGGGCAACCUGCCUGUGAGACUGGGAUAACACCGGGAAACCGGUGCUAAUACCGGAUAAUCCUUUUUCUCUCAUGAGGAAAAGCUGAAAGUCGGUUUCGGCUGACACUUACAGAUGGGCCCGCGGCGCAUUAGCUAGUUGGUGAGGUAACGGAUCACCAAGGCGACGAUGCGUAGCCGACCUGAGAGGGUGAUCGGCCACACUGGGACUGAGACACGGCCCAGACUCCUACGGGAGGCAGCAGUAGGGAAUCUUCCACAAUGGACGAAAGUCUGAUGGAGCAACGCCGCGUGAGCGAUGAAGGCCUUCGGGUCGUAAAGCUCUGUUGUUAGGGAAGAACAAGUACCGGAGUAACUGCCGGUACCUUGACGGUACCUAACCAGAAAGCCACGGCUAACUACGUGCCAGCCGCCGCGGUAA
rnacentral:rRNA from 1 species